AUUGAACGCUGGCGGCAUGCCUUACACAUGCAAGUCGAACGGCAGCACGGGAGCUUGCUCCUGGUGGCGAGUGGCGAACGGGUGAGUAAUACAUCGGAACGUACCCUGAAGUGGGGGAUAACGUAGCGAAAGUUACGCUAAUACCGCAUAUUCUGUGAGCAGGAAAGAGGGGGAUCGCAAGACCUCUUGCUUUAGGAGCGGCCGAUGUCGGAUUAGCUAGUUGGUGAGGUAAAGGCUCACCAAGGCGACGAUCCGUAGCGGGUCUGAGAGGAUGAUCCGCCACACUGGGACUGAGACACGACCCAGACUCCUACGGGAGGCAGCAGUGGGGAAUUUUGGACAAUGGCGCAAGCCUGAUCCAGCCAUGCCGCGUGAGUGAAGAAGGCCUUC
rnacentral:rRNA from 1 species